rnacentral:piRNA from 1 species
UAUACCACUGGAGGCUAUGUGAGCAAACAG